CAGCAGUGGGGAUUGCGGGAAAUGUAGUUUGGAGACUCCGCCCUCCUCGCCAUUUCUGUAAUGGCUGCUUCGUGGAAGGCGGUGUCACGCAGAAGCUCUUAGUCUCAGCAUCCGGAGCUCCAAGAAAGGAGUAUUUCAAGUCAGAUAGAAUUAAACAUAUAUCGUUUCUUUGAGACCUUCAGCCCUCAAGAUCCAGCCACUUGAAGACCCCAGCAUCAUGACCUCAG